rnacentral:rRNA from 1 species
UGAAAAAAUUAGAGUGCUCAAAGCAAGCUUUUCACGCUUGAAUAUUCGUGCAUGGAAUAAUGGAAUAGGAACUCGUUUCUAUUUUGUUGGUUUUCGGAAAUCGAGUUAAUGAUUAAUAGGGACAAUUGGGGGCAUUAGUAUUCAGGCGACAGAGGUGAAAUUCUUGGACCGUCUGAAGACUAACUACUGCGAAAGCAUUUGCCAAGAGUGUUUUCAUUAAUCAAGAACGAAAGUUAGAGGUUCGAAGGCGAUCAGAUACCGCCCUAGUUCUAACCAUAAACGAUGCCAGCUAGCGAUCCGCCGAGUUUUCUUUGUAGGCUCCGCGGGAAGCUUUCGGGAAACCAAAGCUUUUGGGUUCCCGGGGGAAGUAUGGUUGCAAAGCUGAAACUUAAAGGAAUUGACGGAAGGGCACCACCAGCCGUGGAGCCUGCGGCUAAAUUUGACUCAACACGGGAAAACUCACCAGGUCCAGACAUAUUAAGGAUUGACAGAUUGAUAGCUCCUUUC